rnacentral:rRNA from 1 species
CUUAAGUACAGGGACGCUUUAGAAGUGAUGUUGCCGGGCGAUGGUUGACCCGGUCGUAAGGGAUCGAAAAUGAGUAGAGAAGUCAUCAUGGAAAGAGACAAGAAAAGCUGUAUGAAUAUCUUAGGUGCCCGUACCGCAAACCGACACAGGUAGAUAGGAAGAAGAUUCUAAGGCCAACGGGAGAAGGGUUGUUAAGGAACUCGGCAAGUUGACCCCGUAACUUAGGGAUAAGGGGUGCUCAAAUGAUUGAGCCGCAGAGAAUAGGCCCAGGCGACUGUUUAGCAAAAACACAGGUCUCUGCUAAAUCGAAAGAUGACGUAUAGGGGCUGACACCUGCCCGGUGCCGGAAGGUUAAGAGGAGAUGUGAGAGCAUUGAAUUGAAGCCCCGGUAAACGGCGGCCGUAACUAUAACGGUCCUAAGGUAGCGAAAUUCCUUGUCAGGUAAGUUCUGACCCGCACGAAAGGUGUAACGAUCUGGGCACUGUCUCAACAACCCGCCCGGCGAAAUUGUAGUACCGGUGAAGAUGCCGGUUACCCGCGACUAGACGGAAAGACCCCAUGGAGCUUUACUGUAGCCUAAUAUUGGAUUUCGGUAUUUCACGUACAGGAUAGGUGGGAGACUGGGAAGCACAGGCGUCAGCUUGUGUGGAGUCGACCUUGGGAUACCACUCUUGGAGUGCUGGAAUUCUAACCUGCGGCUUUGAAGCAAGUCGGGGGACAUUGUUAGGUGGGCAGUUUGACUGGGGCGGUCGCCUCCUAAAGAGUAACGGAGGCGCUCAAAGGUUCGCUCUGCAUGGAUGGAAACCAUGCGUCAGAGUGUAAACGCAAAAGCGAGCCUAACUGCGAGAAUGACGGUUCGAGCAGUAACGAAAGUUGGAGUUAGUGAUCCGGCGGUAUGUGAAUGGAAAUGCCGUCGCUCAACGGAUAAAAGCUACCCUGGGGAUAACAGGCUGAUCUCCCCCAAGAGUCCACAUCGACGGGGAGGUUUGGCACCUCGAUGUCGGCUCAUCGCAUCCUGGGGCUGAAUUCGGUCCCAAGGGUUUGGCUGUUCGCCAAUUAAAGCGGUACGCGAGCUGGGUUCAGAACGUCGUGAGACAGUUCGGUCCCUAUCUGUCGUGGGCGUAGGAUAUUUGCAAGGAGCUGUCCCUAGUACGAGAGGACCGGGAUGGACGCACCUCUGGUGCACCAGUUGUCACGCCAGUGGCACAGCUGGGCAGCUAUGUGCGGAACGGAUAAACGCUGAAGGCAUCUAAGCGUGAAGCCGCCCUUAAGAUAAGAUAUCCCUUCUGUUUACAGAGUAAGACCCCUUGAAGACUACAAGGUUGAUAGGCUCAAAGUGUAAGCACGGUGACGUGUUUAGCUAGCGAGUACUAAUCGGUCGAGGGCUUAACC